rnacentral:rRNA from 1 species
ACCUAAAAUUCCCAUGGCAAACUGCUCAGUAACACAUGAUCAACUUACCCUAUAGAGAAAAAUAACCUCGGGAAACUGAGGAUAAUAUUUCAUAAUUGAAUCGGCUUGGAAAAGUUUUUCAAUCAAAGGGAUAAGAAAAAUGGUUCUUAUCUGCUAUAGGUUAGGAUCGUGGACGAUUAUGGUUGUUGGUGAGGUAAUGGCUCACCAAGCCGAUAAUCGAUAGGGGCCGUGAGAGCGGGAGCCCCGAGAUGGGUACUGAGACAACGACCCAGGCCUUACGAGGCGCAGCAGGCGCGGAACCUCCGCAAUACACGGAAGUGUGACGGGGUUACCCAAAGUGUUCAUUUCUGAACUGUGGUAGGUGAGUAAUGUCCCCUACUAGAAAGGAGAGGGCAAGGCUGGUGCCAGCCGCCGCGGUAAAACCAGCUCUUCAAGUGGUCGGGAUAAUUAUUGGGCUUAAAGUGUCCGUAGCCGGUUUAGUUAGUUCCUGGUAAAAUCGGGUAGCUUAACUAUCCGUAUGCUAGGAAUACUGCUAUACUAGAGGACGGGAGAGGUCUGAGGUACUACAUGGGUAGGGGUGAAAUCUUAUAAUCCUUGU